rnacentral:rRNA from 1 species
GAUGAACGCUGGCGGCGUGCCUAAUACAUGCAAGUCGAGCGAACGGACGAGAAGCUUGUUUCUCUGAUGUUAGCGGCGGACGGGUGAGUAACACGUGGAUAACCUACCUAUAAGACUGGGAUAACUUCGGGAAACCGGAGCUAAUACCGGAUAAUAUCUUGAACCACAUGAUUCAAAAGUGAAAGACGGUAUUGCUGUCACUUAUAGAUGGAUCCGGGCUGCAUUAGCUAGUUGGGAAGGUAACGGCUUACCAAGGCAACGAUGCAUAGCCGACCUGAGAGGGUGAUCGGCCACACUGGAACUGAGACACGGUCCAGACUCCUACGGGAGGCAGCAGUAGGGAAUCUUCCGCAAUGGGCGAAAGCCUGACGGAGCAACGCCGCGUGAGUGAUGAAGGCCUUCGGAUCGUAAAACUCUGUUAUUAGGGAAGAACAUAUGUGUAAGUAACUGUGCACAUCUUGACGGUACCUAAUCAGAAAGCCACGGCUAACUACGUG